CUUUUCCGCUUCUCUUCAGAACCACUGCCAUCCUGGACAAGAUGGGAACAGAAGUGCAAUUUAAAAGGCUCCUCUCUGCAGCAACCAAUCCUUGACCAGACCCACAGGUACCCCUGGGCCAAAGACAAGGCAACAAUCAAGACCAAGGCCUGGGACCUAGCAGGCUUUCAGGAAGUUCUAUGAGCCUGGGAGCAGCAGGGCCUGGAGACAACAUGAUCCAAGACGGAGGGCAGUGGACUGUUUGUCAGGUAACCAACCAGAUGUCUGGUCCAGGAGCCGCCACUCACUGGUUCCUGCCUUUGAGGAGCUUAAGAGCCUGGGGUGGGAAGAGACCUGUAUCCAGGGACCAAAGAAACACCUUUGUAAAAAGCAAGUGCCACCAGGACUAGCUGCAUGCCGAAUAUGCGAGAGUACUGC